GACGAACGCUGGCGGCGUGCUUAACACAUGCAAGUCGAACGAAGUGGCGAACGGGUGAGUAACGCGUAAUCAACCUGCCCUUCAGAGGGGCAAAACAGUUGGAAAAGACUGCUAAUACCGCAUACUGAAGGAGGGGAAUGUGUCUGAUUAGCUAGUUGGAGGGGCAACGGCCCACCAAGGCGAUGAUAAGUCGCCGGUCUGAGCGGAUGAACGGCCACAUUGGGACUGAGACACGGCCCAGACUCCUACGGGAGGCAGCAGUGGGGAAUCUUCCGCAAUGGACGAAAGUCUGACGGAGCAACGCCGCGUGAGUGAUGACGGCCUUCGGGUUGUAAAGCUCUGUUAAUCGGGACGCGGUACCGGAAUAGAAAGCCACGGCUAACUACGUGCCAGCAGCCGCGGUAAUAC
rnacentral:rRNA from 1 species